rnacentral:tRNA from 1 species
GCGGGUGUAGCUCAAUGGUAGAGCUCCAGCUUCCCAAGCUGGCUACGGGGGUUCGAUUCCCCUCACCCGCU